AAAUGUUACAGCUCUUGUAGAAUUUUUCUAGUAGGUUUUCUGUUUUUUAUUGGGGAAACCAUA
rnacentral:snRNA from 1 species